rnacentral:lncRNA from 1 species
UGCGAUCCAUCGAGUUAACAUGAAUCAUCAGAGGAACGGGCAAAGCCCGCGUUGACCUUUUAUCUAAUAAAUGCAUCCCUUCCAGAAGUCGGGGUUUAUUGCACGUAUUAGCUCUAGAAUUACUACGGUUAUCCGAGUAGCAAAUACCAUCAAACAAACUAUAACUGAUUUAAUGAGCCAUUCGCAGUUUCACAGUCUGAAUUUGUUCAUACUUACACAUGCAUGGCUUAAUCUUUGAGACAAGCAUAUGACUACUGGCGGGAUCAACCAGGUAGCAUUCCUCCGCGACGUCGACACUGCAUGGCUCUUAACAUGCCGCGUGAGCAACGAAGAGGCCAUAACAAAGCACGAGCAUCGUCCGUGUCAAGAGACAAAAUGCAUAGGCAUCGAUAGACAAGGGCCUAAACCCUACUCUAAAAAAUAUUUUCGUCAUCUGAAAGCACGAACGAGCACCAGUGCACCGACGAGGCCACACCGAUUUAAAGGGGCACACUCGAGACACAGGGCAUGAUUGUGGUCCACCACGCACCCUAAAGGGCACGAGAUGAAGAAGGGACAGUAACACAUCCAUAAUUCUAUCUGGCUUAGGUACGCAACACAGAAUCCCGAUCGCACCCCCUAGGUUCAAUUAGAACAAGGGGAGUCAAUGAAGAGGAGUGUGGCUCGACAGUUCGGUGUGGGUAGCAUGGAGCCUGCCAAUACAUACAACCAAAACACCACUCAUAUGCCUAUUGCGUACUAGUAGUAGCACCCAUGCACACCGGCCAACAACCCUCCCAACCACUGUAUUGGGAGGGGAGCGGAAGGAACAAUGAAACGAGGGCACACCACAAAUGCUUGGCAUGAGAACUACGAGGGACAAAAUCCCAUUGGGACUUGGUCGAGCUAAGACCGAGCCUACAAACUCAACUUACGCCCCCCAGUGAGCCGUUGCCGUAAAAGGGACUUGGUACUGGGGUCACAGGCAACUUCGAAUACAGGCAAGGCCUUCGCAAGGCCAAGGUGCCGAUGGGUCGCUGACUUGGGAGGCACAAGGCGUCCCUAACAUGACAGGGGAGAAUGGGCAAGCCAAGCUCGAGCCCAUAGCAAUGCAUAAGCCACCCCAAGAGAUCUUUGCCCGAUAUAGGGAACCUGGUCUUGGAGUCGUUGGCUACAUUUCUAUGGGCACGGGCUUGACCGGCCGGAAAAUCAUCACCCCGGCCACUAGCGCCGGUGAUCGACCCACCAUUAUUGGUGAGUCAUUGCGGGACUAUCCGACCCCCGUGGGGCUGUGGACGCACCCCACAUCGGGUUCGAGGGGGCCCACAUCUGGGGGCAGCAGAUUUCUAUCCCUUAAAGAGCUAAAAAAACUUCGUCAAUCUGCUACCAGGCAACAUUCGUAUGUCUGAAACGGGGACACUUUUCUUUAGCCCAUACAUCCGAGGCACCAGGGUGCCCCUGCUGCUCGAGGCACCCGCACAUCCAACGUCCUAGGUUACCGAUGGUGUCCGCGGCUCCCGCACAUCCAAGCACCAAGGUGCCAAUGCUGCUCGAGGCUCCCGCACAUCCAAGGCACCAAGGUGCCGAUGGUGCCCGAGGCUCCCGCAUGACCAAGGUCCUAGGUUGCCGAUGGUGUCCGAGGCUCCCGCACAUCCAAGCACCAAGGUGUCGAUGGUGCUCGAGGUUCUCGCACGAUCAAGGCCUAGGUGUCGAUAGUGCCCGAGGCUCCCGUACGACAAGGGGCCUAGGUUUCCGAUAGUGCCCGAGGCUCCCGCACGACUAGGGGCCUAGGUUGCCGAUGGUGUUCGAGGCUCCCGCACAUCCAAUCACCAAGGUGCUGAUGGUGGCCGAGGCUCUCGCACGACCUAGGGCAUAGGUGUCGAUGGUCCCGAGGCUCUCGGAUGACCAAGGGCCUAGGUUACCGAUGGUGCCCGAUGCUCCCGCACGACUAGGGGCCUAGGUUGCCGAUGGUGCCAGAGGCUCCCGCACGACCAAGGGCCUAGGUGCCGAUGGUGCCCGAGGCUCCCGCACGACCAAGGGCCUAGGUUGCCGAUGGUGCCCGAGGCUCUCGCACGACCAAGGGCCUAGGUGCCAUUAGUGCCCGAGGCUCCCGCAUGACCAAGGGCCUAGGUUACCGAUAGGACCGAGGCUCUCGCACGACCAGGGGCCUAGGUUACCAAUGGUGCCCGUAGCUCCCGCACGACCAAGGGCCUAGGUUGCCGAUGGUGUCCGAGGCUCCCUCACGACCAAGGGCCUAGGUGCCAAUGGUGGCCGAGGCUCCCGCACGACCAAGGGCCUAGGUUGCUGAUGGUACCCGAGGCUCCCGCACGACCAGGGGCCUAGGUUACCGAUGGUGCCCGAGGCUCCUGUAUGACCAAGGGCCUAGGUUGCUGAUGGUGCCCAAGGCUCCUGCACAUUCAAGCACCAAGGUCCCGAUGGUGCCCGAGGCUCCCGCACGACCAAGGGCCAAGGUGCCGAUGGUGCCCGAGGCUCCCGCACGACCAAGGGCCUAGGUGCUGAC